rnacentral:rRNA from 1 species
GACGAACGCUGGCGGCGUGCUUAACACAUGCAAGUCGAACGGAAAGGCCCUGCUUUUGUGGGGUGCUCGAGUGGCGAACGGGUGAGUAACACGUGAGUAACCUGCCCUUGACUUUGGGAUAACUUCAGGAAACUGGGGCUAAUACCGGAUAGGAGCUCCUGCUGCAUGGGGGGGGUUGGAACGUUUCGGCGGGUGGGGGUGGACUCGCGGCUUAUCAGCUUGUUGGUGGGGUAGUGGCUUACCAAGGCUUUGACGGGUAGCCGGCCUGAGAGGGUGACCGGGCACCAUGGGACUGAGAGACGGACCAGACUGCUACGUGGGGCAGCAGUGGGGAAUAUUGCACAAUGGGCGGAAGCCUGAUGCAGCAACGCCGCGUGCGGGAUGACGGCCUUCGGGUUGUAAACCGCUGUCGCCUGUGACGAAGCGUGAGUGACGGUAAUGGGUAAAGAAGCACCGGCUAACUACGUG